rnacentral:rRNA from 1 species
UACGUAGGGUGCGAGCGUUGUCCGGAAUUAUUGGGCGUAAAGAGCUUGUAGGCGGUUUGUCGCGUCUGCCGUGAAAAUUCGAGGCUCAACCUCGAACUUGCGGUGGGUACGGGCAGACUAGAGUGUGGUAGGGGAGACUGGAAUUCUCGGUGUAGCAGUGAAAUGCGUAGAUAUCGAGAGGAACACCAGUGGCGAAGGCGAGUCCCUGGACACUUCCUGACACUGAGGCACGAAAGCUAGGGGAGCAAACAGG